AGCUUCUUGUUCAUUAUCAUUUAAGAUUCUUAUGAUUUCUCUAGGAAGUAUAUUCCAAAAAUGAAAUUCUAUCUCAAGAUCUAAGCUAAUUUGAGUUAAGAAGUCAGCACAUUUAUUUCUCUCUUGGUAUAUAUUUACAAAAAGAACCUCCCAAUUUUUCUUUUUCCAGCAACUAAUUCUUCUCAAAAGGGCAUUUGGAUGUUUGCUCAAAUCCCAUUUUCCAUUAAUUUUGCUAAUUACCACUUGGGAGUCACACUGCACUACUAAUAUUUUUAAUGCCCAUAGUCCAUGCAACUUCAAUUCCUUCCUCAAUAUCCCAAAAUUUUACCUUGUACGCUGAACGAUUCCCAGCAAAAUGAGAGAAACCUACUACCCAUCUUCCGUUUGCAUCUCGCAGCAGCUCCCCGCAGCCAGCUUUGCUCGUGUUUCUGUCCCUUGAAUUGUCCGUGUUUAGCGCUGUCCAUUUAUCCUGGCAGUGGUGGAGUCCAACUCUAAUGUAGAUCUCCUCUCUUUUCUUCAUGUGUUGCAGAUUGUUAUUGAAGAAUUCUAUUGCAAUUUUAGUUUGAUAAGCUGCUUUUACAUUCUUGACACCUUUGGGCAGUCUCUGAUGGCGUGGAUAAUGUCCUCCUCACUAACGUUGCAAAUUAAGCAGAUUCCACUACUCCCAAAUAGAGGAGCUCUCCCUUGGUUGAUGUGAUAGGUCUUAUUGACGACCCUUUUCUUAUCUUUGGGUCACACAAAAGAUAUUACACUAACUUGAAUUGAAUUCCUAUUAUCGUGUAUAUAAUAGAUACUUUGUCAUUUAUGAUCACCCCUUUCGCUCUCUCUUUUAUUUCUUGUUUGACAGUGGAGCAAGUGAAUAAUAUGGGAAUAUGAAAACUACUUAUAAUACAUACAAAAAAAGGAUAAAAAAAGU